CAAUUCUUUUAAAAUUAGCACUGUUAGAACUGCCUUGUUGUUCAAUAGUCCUGUCUUAUUUAUCCCAGCACACUCUUAAUAAAUGAGUUUGAUUAUUCCUGGACACAAAUAAAAUGGAUUUGUUGAGGAACAAGGCAGUUCUGUAUAGUACUGACUUAUAGGAGGGUUGUGUUUUUCCAUGUUUUUUUUCUCAUUCUGCCAACUACAUUCUGGUUUUCAACAAAAUUUGAAUUUCGGAACAAACCUUGUGAUUUUUAAAAACUUUCCCAACUUUAAAACAAACACUUAAGGUCGAAAUAAGCUAGGAUAUUGCCUUAACCUCAUUACAAAGUGGGACUUAUUUGAAUAUGGAUGAACUGAAGCUCAGCAAACUACACUUAAUUUGGGGGUAAUGUGAGAU